GAUUCCCCUAGUAACUGCGAGUGAAGCGGGAAAAGCUCAAAUUUAAAAUCUGGCAGUCUUUGAUUGUCCGAGUUGUAAUCUAGAGAAGUGUUAUCCGCGUUGGACCGUGUACAAGUCUCCUGGAAUGGAGCGUCAUAGAGGGUGAGAAUCCCGUCUUUGACACGGACUACCAAGGCUUUGUGAUGCGCUCUCAAAGAGUCGAGUUGUUUGGGAAUGCAGCUCAAAAUGGGUGGUAAAUUCCAUCUAAAGCUAAAUAUUGGCGAGAGACCGAUAGCGAACAAGUACCGUGAGGGAAAGAUGAAAAGAACUUUGGAAAGAGAGUUAAACAGUACGUGAAAUUGCUGAAAGGGAAACGCUUGAAGUCAGUCGCGUCGUUCAGAACUCAACCUUACUUUUGUGGGGUGUACUUUCUGUUUGACGGGUCAGUAUCAAUUUUGACCGUUGGAUAAAGUCCUUUGGAAUGUAGCUUCUUUGGAAGUGUUAUAGCCUUUGGUCGCAUACAACGGUUGGGAUUGAGGUACUCAGCACGCUGCAAAGCCGGGUUUCGACCACGUUCGUGCUUAGGAUACUGGCAUAAUGGCUUUAAUCGACCCGUCUUGAAACACGGACCAAGGAGUCUAACAUGCCUGCGAGUGUUUGGGUGGAAAACCCGAGCGCGUAAUGAAAGUGAAAGUUGAGAUCCCUGUCGUGGGGAGCAUCGACGCCCGGACCAGACCUUUUGUGACGGAUCCGCGGUAGAGCAUGUAUGUUGGGACCCGAAAGAUGGUGAACUAUGCCUGAAUAGGGUGAAGCCAGAGGAAACUCUGGUGGAGGCUCGUAGCGAUUCUGACGUGCAAAUCGAUCGUCAAAUUUGGGUAUAGGGG
rnacentral:rRNA from 1 species